rnacentral:rRNA from 1 species
UACGUAGGGCGCAAGCGUUGUCCGGAAUUAUUGGGCGUAAAGAGCUCGUAGGCGGCUUGUCACGUCGAUUGUGAAAGCCCGAGGCUUAACCUCGGGUCUGCAGUCGAUACGGGCUAGCUAGAGUGUGGUAGGGGAGAUCGGAAUUCCUGGUGUAGCGGUGAAAUGCGCAGAUAUCAGGAGGAACACCGGUGGCGAAGGCGGAUCUCUGGGCCAUUACUGACGCUGAGGAGCGAAAGCGUGGGUAGCAAACAGG